UGGACAGCUGCACGCGACCGCUCGCGCUUUUCUGAAAACGCACUGGUCGAAUGUCUGGUAGAGAAUUCAGACCAGACAGUCACCUGCGCUGUCCGGUAAUACGCAAAUAUGUUCCGCAGCGCUUAAUAUCAGAGAAUAAUAUGCGCUGUUAAUAUAUGAACACUCCAUUGUUAAGAAAUGGAGCCAAAGAACCUGGACCUGGAUCUCCUUUUAGUUCGCCAGAAGAUAACAUCGCCACUUUGCACUUGACUUAGCUAGAAAAAUGAGCAUCGCAUGCUGGUGUAGUUGGAGUUUUAAGCGUCUUGGCUAGCAAGUUAGCAACAGCUGAGUGCUUUUCAUUCACGGGACCAGCCAGCCCAUCUUGACCUGGGAAACCACGGUUACCGGGAGCGCCCUAGAAACAAGGUGUCAGGGCCUGCUCGGAUUGGAUGAGCCAGGUGGAAGUGGGAGGGGCAGACGAGCUGGGGGCAGGACUUACAAGCUCUCCUUUGGGUCCAGCUUCACCUUUGAACCCUGGGAUACCGGGGUCACCCUACAGACAGAGAGAGAGAGAGAGAUUUCCAUAAGAGACUGAACCAUGUGUCUCCAUCUGGGACAUGGAAGCACAUAAGCACUGGGGUGUCCUGUAGUUUGGGGUACACCCUUAAAGAUACGCUUACCUGCUGUCCUUUGGGCCCCAGAGGGCCUGUGGCUCCCUGAGGUCCGGGGGGGCCCCGGGGACCGGGGAAACCAGGAGCACCUGCAAUACCAGGACCGCCCUGCAGAGGGAGGCAGAGAGGACCAGAGUAUCACUCACUCUGCCACCUACCACCGAUUAAUCAAUUAAAGCCAACAAUAUUAAUAUAAAACAACUAAACCAUCAACUAAAAGCCAAGAAUAAACUCACCGCAGAUCCUUUGGAUCCAGGAAUGCCAUCAGUACCAGGGUUACCCUGUAGAGACCAAACACAGCCGGGGAUCAGAGACUGAAACUGAGACUGAAACAGCCCUACCUUCACACCUUAUAACACAGCACUGCAGGUGAGCCCUGCAGGUGAGGGAGCUCUGCCUUAAGGAGAGUUCUCAUGCUUUGUGAUGAGCGUGUUUAAAAACGCACAUCUGCAUGUGUCAGUUGUAAAUAAUGUGUUAGUUCCCAUGUGUGUGUGUAUGUGGUUGCAGGUAAACAGAGUUUGAGUUCAGUGUUCAUGUCGUUUACACUGUGUAGGUUUCCCAGCUGGAGUGUACUAUAAACACUUGGGGCUUUGGGAUGAACAUGCAGUGGGAUGCAUAUGAUUUGGAGGACUGACACAAAUGGAGUUAUGGUGGGAAAUUUAUCAGAACAUAAAAGCUUUUUGAUGACAAA